GCUAAGACUGGAUAGGAAAUAAAAAGGCAUCUUUUUUAUUUUUAAAAGACCUUUUUUCGGAAGGUAUGCUUAAAGAGGGGCUUGCGUCACAUUAGUUAGUUGGCAGGGUAAAGGCCUACCAAGACUAUGAUGUGUAGCUGGACUGAGAGGUUGAACAGCCACAUUGGGACUGAGACACGGCCCAAACUCCUACGGGAGGCAGCAGUAGGGAAUUUUCGGCAAUGGAGGAAACUCUGACCGAGCAACGCCGCGUGAACGAUGAAGUAUUUCGGUAUGUAAAGUUCUUUUAUUGAAGAAGAAAAAAUAGUGGAAAAACUAUCUUGACGAUAUUCAAUGAAUAAGCCCCGGCAAACUAUGUGCCAGCAGCCGCGGUAAUACAUAGGGGGCGAGCGUUAUCCGGAAUUAUUGGGCGUAAAGGGUGCGUAGGCGGUUUAAUAAGUCUAUUGUUUAAUUUCAGUGCUUAACACUGUCCUGCUAUAGAAACUAUUAGACUAGAGUGAGAUAGAGGCAAGUGGAAUUCCAUGUGUAGCGGUAAAAUGCGUAAAUAUAUGGAGGAACACCAGAGGCGUAGGCGGCUUGCUGGGUCUUUACUGACGCUGAGGCACGAAAGCGUGGGGAGCAAACAGGAUUAGAUACCCUGGUAGUCCACGCCGUAAACGAUGAGUACUAAGUGUCGGGAUUACUCGGUACUGAAGUUAACACAUUAAGUACUCCGCCUGAGUAGUACGUACGCAAGUAUGAAACUUAAAGGAAUUGACGGGACUCCGCACAAGCGGUGGAUCAUGUUGUUUAAUUCGAAGAUACACGAAAAACCUUACCAGGUCUUGACAUACUCUGCAAAGCUAUAGCAAUAUAGUGGAGGUUAUCAGGGAUACAGGUGGUGCAUGGUUGUCGUCAGCUCGUGUCGUGAGAUGUUAGGUUAAGUCCUAAAACGAGCGCAACCCUUGUCAUUAGUUGCCAGCAUGUCAUGAUGGGCACUUUAAUGAGACUGCCAAUGAAAAAUUGGAGGAAGGUGAGGAUCACGUCAAAUCAUCAUGCCCCUUAUGAUCUGGGCUACAAACGUGAUACAAUGGCUGUUACAAAGAGUAGCUGAAACGCAAGUUUAUAGCCAAUCUCAUAAAAGCAGUCUCAGUUCGGAUUGAAGUCUGCAACUCGACUUCAUGAAGUUGGAAUCGCUAGUAAUCGCGAAUCAGCAUGUCGCGGUGAAUACGUUCUCGGGGUUUGUAC
rnacentral:rRNA from 1 species